CUCAGCUGCAGAUAGGCCCGCGCCUGGUGCCCCCCGCCCCCAGCCCCGCGGCGGAGGACUUCCGCCGAGGCUGCUGCGUUCGGGGUGCGUUUGCUCCUGCCUCGCUGGAGAAAGCACGUUUCAACCCCCCCCCCCCCAAUACUCUGAUUUAGUCUUGCAUAAAACGAACGCGAAACCGCGGUCCCCCAGACGUCUGCGGAUGUGUGCGCUGGACUCCCGCAACAUCCCGAUCCCCGAACAAAGAACGGCGGGGCGGCGGAGGGGCUUCACUUAAAUCUACAUUUCAGUAGGCCGUGUACCCUAUUCGUUUCGCUGACAGGAAGCAAAAGGCUUCGGGAGAUAGAGCCACAGGUUCUCCUUGAGUCAUUUAUUUCUUCCCGGAAUCUUCACUCAACGUCAAAAACAAAUUUCCUGGACUGUAACUGCGGACCGCGAAGCACGUGAAAUGCUGUGUUGUUCGUUUAAUCUACAGAAUGCAUUUGUCACAGGGAAUGGGAUUUGCUCGCACCCUAUUCAUCACAGCCAGAGCUACGGGGUCGAGAGGUGCUUUUCUUUAGCUGGGAAACCCGUCGGGCGCCAUGGGGUCCUAGCUUUUCUCCUUGUGAAUGGUGCGAGCUGGGUAGAAACGGUGGCCGCAGAAUAUAAGCGCUAGGUGUCUUCGACACCUGCCUUCCCACCCUCAUUUGCCCACUGACUGUUCGCUACCUGCUUGUUACCGCGCCCUAAGGUUUACGGUCGUGCACCUGCUCGCUGGGCGCUGUUCUGAGCAAAUGCACACCCACCGCUCGGCUGUCUUGGAGACUGCGGUCUGUCGGAAAGAUAGGGUUAGGCGUGUAACCACAUUUGAGUCCGUCGACGCACACUGAGGAGAAUGCUGUGAUGGGGAGAAACGGGACUUCUCAGAGCUGUCUCUGGAACCCGGUUUACUCACAGGCACAGUGGUUACCACAAUUCCUACUUCAUGAGACUGUUAGAGACGCAGACACGAAGUCUGCAUCUCAUUCCUUACUCUCAUUCCUUCCGGAAUGAGACAGGUAUAAGACUAGGAAACUCUGUGAAGAAUCAUGCAAAUUAGAUCGUUAAGAUCAUGGCACUAAAGGCAAAACACUGUUGGUUUUAGGGGUUUAUGGCAGCUCCUUAAUCCUGCGCUUGAGUUGGGCAGUGGACGUAAGCCAAAGGCUGUAUUCACUGACUCAUUAGGAAGCGUCGAAGGAGUGCUUGCUAUGUGCAGGGUUUGUAGGUGGUGGAGCAUAAGACAGACAAGGCCCUCGUCAUCAGAGAGCUUACAACCUAUCAGAAUUGCAAGCAACGAGCAAAUUGUAAUAUAAUGUGCGACGAGUGUUUUGUGACAGAAGAGCAAGUGAAUUCUGUAAGGAGAGAGUCAUGUACACAGGCAAGUGCUCAGAACUUGGUGCCUUUCCAUUUAUAUGUUUGCGUUACAAAAUGGGGAACACUGGGGCCGCCGUAGUAGGUUAAGCAUCUGCCCGCGGUGCCAGCAUCCCAUAUGGGCACUGGUUCAAAUCCCAGCUCCCUGCUGAUGGCCUGGGAAGGCAGUAGGAGAUGGCCUGGGUGCUUGGGCCCCUGCACCUGCAUGGGAGACCAGGAGGAAGCUCCUGGCUUUGGAUCAGCCAUAGCAGUCAUUUGGAGAGUGAACCAGCAGACAGGAAACUCUCUCUCUCUCUCUCUCUCUCUCUCUCUCUCUCUCUCUCUCUCUCUCUGUCAUUCUGCCUUUCAAAUAAAUGAACUAAAUCUUAGAGAGAGACAGAGAUACAAGCUGGUAUUUGUUCACUCCAUAUCCCGUAUCAGUGCCUGGGAUUGAGUCUUGCUUCACCUUUCACUCCAGGUGCCUGCUAAGGCACAUGUUGGGAGGUAGAGAAAGAUAAGUUUAUUUUUUUCUUAAUUUGCAUUUUCUGUGAAUAUAUUGAAGACUUCUUGUAUGCAUGCAUUUCAAAUAUUUUGCACCAAAAUAAACUUCUUUCUAAAGUUUUAUUUAUUUAUUUGAAACACAGUGUGACAGUGUGAGGGAGACAUGUGCGCACGUGCACGCACACACACACACACACACACACACCUUCCAUCUACUGGUUCACUCCCCAAGUGCCUACAACAGCCAGGGCUGGGCCAUCCUGAAGCUAAGACCCAGGAACUCCAGCCAGGUCUCCCAUGUGAGUGGCAGGAACUCAAGUACUUGAGCCAUCAUCUGCUGCUUCCCAGGCUCAUUAGCAGGGAGCUGGAUCAAAGGCGGAGUGGCUGGGCCUGGCACUCUGCUAUGGGAUUGCAGACCUCCUAAGCCCACAACACCCACACCUAAACUUACCUUUUAAUUUUAUUUUCCCACGAACUUUGUAAAGGACCCUGGUACUCUCACGAACACUUUGUAUAUAUCAGGAGAGGUAUUUAAGAGCGCUUUGGUCAAAUCAAAGCGGUGGUGAUAGAAGUCAGAGCAGUGGUGCACUGAUAGGAUGAUAUAUAAACUGGAAAGAAGCUGGACGGAACUUUCUAGGGGGACAAAAGUGUUCUUUAUUUUGAUCCCAUAAUGGUUACAUGGAACAUAUACAGAAACAUGCAAAGAGCUGUGUGUUUAAGACUGGGUGUUUUACUGUAUGUAAAGUAUACCUUGAUGAAAAUUUUUACAGAAGCAGUGAAUUAAAGCUUUGGGGGGGGUCAAAUGAUUUUGGUUCAGAUCUUGGCUCUGUUCUUUAAUAGCUAUGUGAGUUUCUGUCUUUUUUUAAAGAUUCAUUUUAUUUAUUUGAAGGCAGAGUUAAUGGGGGUGGAGGGGUGGGGAGAUAGCUUUCAUGUGAUGGUUCACUCCCAAUGGCUGAGCCAGGCUGAAGCCAGAAGCCUGGAACUCCAUCCAGGUCUUCCAAAUGGAUGGCAAGGACUGAAGUACUUAGGCCAUCUGCUGCUGCUUGCCCAAGUGCAUUAGCAGGGAGCUGGAGUGGAGCAGCCUGGACUUGAACCUGCACUCGUAUGGGAUGCUGGUAUCGCAGGCAAUGGUUUCACCUGCUGUGCCCAGAUGCCUGCCCCACCCCAUCUUCUUUCCUACAUUCAGUAUUUAUUGAGUACCGACUCAGUUUACUGGUCAAGGUUCAAGGGACAUAUGAUAAACAAGAAAUAGGUGAUUCAUGCUUUCAUAGAAUUUCAGCCAAGCCACAGGUAUCUAUCUUGGGAACAGGGAUGAUAACAUUUUAAUCACAGGUCAUUGUAAGAACUAAAAAGGGGACCAAUGCUGUAACAUAGCGGGUAAAGCUGCCACCUGCGGUGCCAGCAUCCCUUAUGGGCGCCGGUUCAAGGCCUGGUUGCUCCACUUCCAAUCCAGCUCUCUGCUAUGGCCUGGGAAAGCAGUAGAAGAUGGCCCAAGUCCUUGGGCCCCUGCACCCACAUGGGAACACCCGGAGGAAGCUCCUGGCUCCUGGAUUCAAAUCGGUGCAGCUCCAGCCAUUGCAGCCAAUUGGGGAGUGAACCAGAGGAUGGAAGACCUCUUUCUCUCUCUGCCUCUCCUUUUCUCUCUGUGUAACUCUGACUUUCAAAUAAAUAAAAAAAAUUUAAAAAAAUAAUUAAAGAGAACACGCAGGUAGAGUAUCUGGGAAGCAAUUGAUGCUCAGAAAUAAACAGCCUGACCAACUGUUUGAUGGACCAGGGGACCCUGAUUGUUCACAGCCAAUGGGUUUACUGAGAGGUCAGAGCUGGAGCGCUUAUUUAGCUUAUUGUCUGAUGUUCAUUGCUCUGCUCAAGGAAGGCCCAUGCGAGUUAUGUUCCAUGGGUUCUGUAGUGCAUGCUUAUAUCUGCCUGCUGUAUUUAUAAUUGAAUGGUGACCUGACUUUGUAAACUUUUGGAGUGCACUUUCUUUCAGAACCUUUGGGCGCGUCUUCAUUGUUUUGCGCACUGUUAGAUAUUUCGAGGUGGAAGGGAAGAGCUGUGCUGGGGCUGUGUGCAACCUUUGGUACAGACCUGGGCUCAGCGCUUGCUUCAGAGACUCGGAGGAACGGCGUUCCCAGAUGCACUCCACCAAAACAGGGGUGUCCGGAGCCUUUGAGCAGAUUUGGUGGCGUUCAAAGUGCUGCUGCAAUGCAUCAUGGGCCCAGGAAAAUGGGAGCUGGGUGGUUUUCCACCCCCUGCUGAGAGCCCCUGGAGGCAGUAGGCGUGUCUGAUCCCAGCUGUUCUUCUUUACUUUUUCCCAGGAUAGUCACUCACUCUAGGGGAUCGGUGAGACAUCUCAGGGUUUUGUGGGUUCAUCUGCCUUCCUGAUAUUCUUUUGUUUGGUAAGGUAAGAACCACACUUGAUUCAGUCCGGAAUCCUCUGUCUCUUUCCUUGGUGAAUAUGUAUUUCUCCUCACCCUCAGUUCACAUGUUGAGCCUUAAUCCCCAGGGAGAUGCUAUUUAGAAGGAAGGCCUUUGGGAAGUAAUUAGGUUUGGAUGACGUGCGAAGGUAGAGUCCCUAUAACAGGAAGCAGCAAUCACAACUCUCCCCUGCCUUCCCCUCUCCUUUCCUCCCCUCCUCUCUCCUCUCUUCCCCUCCCCCCUUCACCUACAGGCUAGGAGGAGGGUCCUCACCAGGCACCGAAUCUGCUCACACGUUGAUCCCCAACUUCCCAGCCUUUAGAGUUGUGACAAAUAAAUGUUCUUUAAGCCACCUGGUUUACGGUGUUCUGUUAGAGCUGCCCAAGCUGCCCAAGACACUUGGUUCCCCUCUUUGAUGUUCAUUCCACAAAGCUGUACCCUUUCGGUUAUUUGUUGAAUUAAUUCUCUUACUUUUUUGAAUACCUUUUAAUUUGUUUAUUAUUAUUAUUUGAUUAAUUUCCUUUAUUGGGGAGGCAGAGAAAUAGAAAGAGAGAGCUCCCAUCUGCUAGUUCACUCCCCAAAGGCCAACAACAGCCAGUGCUGGGCUGGAGCCAAACUAAGGAGACAGGAAUGCAAUCCCGGUCUCCUGUGUGGGUAACAGGAACCCAAUUACUUUAGCCUUCACUGCUGCCUCCCAGGUGCACAUUAGCAGGAAACUGGAUUCGGGAGCUGGAAUCUGGUAUCAAACCCAGGAUGUUGAUGUGGGAGGCGGGUGUCUUAACAAGGGUCCUAACUGUUAGGCUGAAUCCCUGCCCCUUUUCUCUUUUUAAAAAUCUUUAACAGGGGGCCGGCAUGGUGGCACAGUGGGUUAACACCCUGGCCUGCAGUGCCAGCAUCCUAUAUGGGCACCGGUUCAAGACCUGGCUGCUCCUACUCGGAUCCAGCUCUCUGCCAUGGCCUGGGAAAGCAGUAGAAAUGGCCCAAGUCCUUAGGCCCCUGCACCCGCAUGGGAGACCCAGAAGAAGCUUCUGGCUUUGGAUCGGCGCAGCUCCAGCUGUUGCAGCCAGUUGGGGAGUGAACCAUUGGAUGGAAGACCUCUCUCUCUGCCUCUACUCUUUCUGUGUAACUCUGACUUUCAAACAAAUCUUAAAAAAAUCUUUAACAUUUGAAUCUUGCAUUAAAGUGCAUAAAAUGAUAUAAUGCAUACCUUUCCACUCACCACUGUGAUUAGAUAAAUGUAAAUGCUUUAGCCAAUUUGUUCGGAAAUGAAAGGAUUAGAGAAUCAGCCAAGAACGGGACCCCCCUCUUCUUCCUGUCCCCCACCACCAGAGGUGAUCACAGUCCUGAAAUACAUCCCCAUGUAUAUUAUAUUUGUAUUUUCUUAUUUUUACUUUUUAAAAUAUUUAUUUAUUUGAAAGGCACAGUUAGAGAGAGAGAGAGAGAUUUUCCACCCACUGAUUCAGCCCUCAACUGGCCACAAUGGCUAGGGUUGAGCCAGGCUCAGGAACCAGGAAUUCCAUCUGGGUCUCCCAUGUGGGUGGCAGGUGAUCAAGUACCUGGGCCAUCUUCCGCUGCUUUUCCAGGUGCAUCAGCAGGGAGCUGGAUUGAAAGUGAAGCAGCUGAGACUCAAACUGGCACUCAUAUGGGAUGCUGGCAUGGCAGGUGGGGGCUUAACCCAGGGUGCCACAACACUGACCCCUAUAUUUGUACUUUUAUCAUACAUAUAUGCUUCCAUAAACUGUAUAGCCUUGUUUCCUAUGUUUCACUAUGUUUUGUAUAUCUUUCAAAAUUUGAUUAUUUUUAAUUUUUUAAAAGAUUUAUUUAUUUAUUUGAAAGAGUUACAGUGAAAGAGGGAGAGACAGAGAGAGAAGAGAAAGAUCUUCCAUCUGCUGGUUCACUCCUCCUCAAACGGCUGCAACUAAUCACCAGGGCUGGGCCAGGCCGAAGCCAGGAGCCAGUAGCUUCGUCCGGGUCUCCUACGUGGGUGCAGGGGCCCGCCAUUUCUGGUGCCCCAGUGAAGAUCCGUUUAAAUCAGAAAGUGUCCGUAUAGAUCCAGCCACCAACUGUCCUUUCCCCAGCUCUCCUGGUGAUCCUGAUACACCUUAAUCUUUGAGAACCACUGCUCUAAUUUAUUUGUUUUGCUUGCUGUCUGGCGUUGGACAGUGUGAGCCAGCCACAGUUAGCUGUUUUUCGUUUGCUUACAGAUAACGCUGCAUUGAACAUGCUUGUACUUCCCUCCUUGGGUAGAAAUGCCAGCACUUUCCAGGGUGCACGCUUAGGAGUGGGACUGCUGACUUCGUAUUAGUUCAUAUCUUGAACUUCACAAGGUUUAGCAAAGAUUAGUCUCCAAAGAAAUAUUAAAGAGGCAUGCAACUUCAGGCAGUUAUAAGAAGUACUGUUUCUGGUACUCGUGUUGUGGCACAGCGGGUUAAGCUGCAGGCUGCAAUACAAGCGUUGCACAUCUGAGCUCCAAUUUGAGUCUCGGCUGCUCCACUUCCAAUCCACUCCCUGCUAAUGCACUUGGGAAAACAGCAGGAGAUGGCCCACCUACCACCCACAUGGGAGACUAGGAUGGAGUUCCAGGCUCCUGGCUUUGUUGGGGCCAUGUGGGGAGUGAACCAGUGGAUGAAAGAUUUCUUUCUCCCUCUCUGUAUCUCUGCCUCUCUCUUUUACUCCGCCUUUCAAAUAAAUAAAACAUUUUUUAACGAUUUAUUUAUUUAUUUGAAAGUCAGAGUUACACAGAGAGAGAGGAGAGGUAGAGAGAGUUUUUCCAUCCUUUGGUUCACUCCCCAGUUGGCCGCAAUGGCCAGAGCUGCGCCAAUCCAAAGCCAGGAGCCAGGAGCUUCUUCCAGGGCUCCCACAUGGGUACAGGGGCCCAAGAACUUGCAUAGCAGAGAGCUGGAUAGGAAAUGGAGCAGCUGGGUCUCAAACUGGCACCCAUAUGGGAUGCCAGUGCUUCAGGCCAGGGCGGUAAGCCGCUGCACCACAGCACCAGCCCCAAAACAUCUUUUUUUUGUUUUUGUUUUUAAGAAGUACCAUUUCUAAAUAUCUGAUCCAGCUUUUGACAUCUUCAGACUUUGUUCAUUUGUUUAUUUUAGCCUCAUGCUGGUAAAAAUGAUAUCUGUGGGGACCAUCGCUGUGGCAUAGCAGGUAUAGCCGCCGCCUGCAGUGCCAGCAUCCCAUAUGGGCGCCGGUUCAUUACGCGGCUGCUCCACUUCUGAUCCAGCUGUCUGCUAUGGCCUGGGAAAGCAUUAGAAGAUGGCUUGGUCCCCUGCACCUGCGUGGAAACACCCAGAGAAAACUCCUAGUUACUGGCUUCAGAUCGACUUAGCUCUGGCUGUUGUGGCCAAUUGGGGAGUGAACCAUAGGAUGGAAGACCUCUCUCUCUCUCUCUCUCUCUCUCUCUCUCUCUCUCUCUCUCUGCCUCUGCUGCUUUCUCUGUGUAGCUCUCACUUUCAAAUAAAUAAAUAAAUUUUAAAAGAUGAUACCUUUCUUGUUUUAACUGUAAUUUCCCUCAAAAUAGUGAUAUUGAGCAUCUUAUCUUGCAGGCUGCUCCGGUUUCUUCCUUUGGGAAUGACUGUUGAUGUUUCUGGCUCAUUUUUCUGCUGGGUUUCUGUAUGCUUUUAUUAAUCCCGAGCAAUUCUUUGCAUACUUUGGAGACUGAUUUCACGCUGAGGAUUUUCGUUCACUGUUUCCUAGACUCUUCCUAGAAAGCAGAGGCUCUUAUGUUCUCAUGGACUGCGCUGUUCACAGGUGGAACAAAUGUCACUGGAAGCUGAUCACUAAGUCCUGGGGCCCCAGGACAUUGGAAUGGGGGGGAGUGAAAGGCACUUUUUUGGUGAUGGUAUUGAGUUCCUAGUAAUUGCCAACAGAGCUGAAAUCUCAAGGAAAUGUUCCUUAAACAAAAUGGAUCUGAAUGGGAGUGCUGCUGCUGUUGUACAGUGAAAGAGGUGGCUCGGGGAACUCCGGAGUGUCCACCACGAAGUCCUUCCCAGCCAUCAGAGAGCUCUCUGGCGGGGUCACCUGGUUUGGAGCCUGGCCAAUGUAACACACACCUGUUUCAGUAUAACUUUGUACAGCUGUGAUCGUCAGCAUAAUGACCCCUCCAAAAUGUCUGUGUCCUAAUCCCUGGAGGCUGCGACCCGGCCACCUUCCCACGGCAACAAGAACAUGAUCCUGAGAUGAGGAGACGGCAGGUGGCCCCACUGUGGUCACAGGCAUCCUUAUAAGGGAGAGGUAGGAGGCUGAGAGAAAAGGAGAUGCGAUGAUUGGAAGGAUGGAAGAUGCUACACUGCUAGUUUGGAGACGUCCAUAAGGCAAGGAAGGCAGGCAGCCUCCUGGAACUGGAAAAGGCAAGAAACCCGAUUGUCCCCAAGAGCCCUCAGAAAGAAUAAUGCCAUUCAGAUCCAUUUUUAAAAAAACAUUUAUUUAUUUAUUUAUUUGAAAGGCAGAGCUACAGAGAAGCAGAGAGAGAGAGAGAGAGAGAGAGAGAGAGAGAGAAAGAGAGAGGUCUUCCAUCCACUGGUUCACUCCCUAGAUGGCCACAAUGGCUGGAGCUGGGCUGAUUUGAAGCCAGGAGCCAGGAGCUUCUUCCAGGUCUCCCAAGCAGGUACAGAGGCCCAAGGACCUGGGCCGUCUUCCACUGCUUUCCCAGACCAUAGCAGAGAGCUGGAUGGGAAAUGGAGCAGCUGGGACUUGAACUGGCCUCCAUGUGGGAUGCCAGCACUGACGGUUAGCCCCCUCUGAUCCAUUUUUGACUUUAAACUUUCUUCUUCCCAGAAAGCCUAAUAAGAAUAGUUGUUUCCUUUUCCAAUUUUACCAUGGCUUACUUUUUUCCUUUUUAAUAAUUAGAUCUUUAAUCCAAUUAAAAAUGAUUUCGAUGGCUGAGGUCUCAUCUUUGGUGAUAUUAGAUUAAUUAGAUUCCUUCUCUCCCCGAGCUAUCCCAACACAGAAUAGCUCCCCAAGACCAUUUUUUGUGUCUCUUGUGUAUCAUAUGACAUUCUUUUUUUAAAAAAAUAUUUACUUAUUUAUUUGGAAGUCAGAGUUACAUAGAGAGAGCAGAGGCAGAGAGAGAGAGAGAGAGAGAGAGAGAGAGAGAGAGGUCUUCCAUCCGCUGGUUCGAUCCCCAAUUGGCAGCAAUGGCUGGAGCUGUGCCAAUCCGAAACCAAGAGCCGGGAACUUCCUCUGGGUCUCCCACAUGGGUACAAGGGCUCAAGGACUUGGGCCAUUUCUACUGCUUUCCCAGACCAUAGUAGAGAGCUGGAUCAGAAGUGGAGCAGCUGGGUCUGAAACCGGCACCCAUAUGGGAUGCUGGCUCUUCAGGCCAGGGCGUUAACCCACUGUGCCACAGCGCUGGCCCCCAUCAGAGGACAUUCUUUUCUAGGGGGGGUUACAAUAUCUCAAUUCACUGUUGUUUCAAUGAUUAUUGAUCCAAAUGGAAGAUUUUUCGCCAUUCUGUUGCCAGAAACAUGUGAAAUGCACUUGAAACUAUUUAAAGGAGAUUUUCUUCAGUGAAGUAAAUGAAUUUUGUUUAUACUACUCAGAUGACCAGGCCAUUGGAUCAUGGUAUGGUAGAGCUGGGAGCACAGACUGUGGGUUUGGACAACCUGGGUUGAGAUCCUGGCUGCCCACUAACCAGGUGACCUUGGACAUGCCAUCAACCUCCUCUCACCUUGGUCUGCUCCCUUGUAGCAGUGGAAUGGUAACAGUACCCACCGCAGAAGAUCAGUGUGCAUGCACAUGCAUAGACAUAGGCACACCACUUAGAACUAUGCCACCACAGAGUGCUCGGUGAGCUUGCUGGGCGUGGUGUGUUAGCAUGGUACUCCCUCCCGUAGACUGCAUAUGCCUCUUCUUGAAUUACAUCCAUUAAGAAGCUGUAUAAUGGGAUGGGAGGAGACUUUUCCUGUUACCUCCUAAUCUGUGACUUUGGACACACAAUUUGGGACAAGGUGCUACCCAAUAUAUUGUAAUGCAAAGGCCCUUAGCCUGAGGUUCAUGAACCUGAUAGGAAAAAGCCCACUUCCUCAUUUUCACUUAUCUCUAACUGAAAUUAUUUCUUUCUUAUGAAUGCAGGCUAAUAUUGCACAUCAAGUAUAGUCUGCUACAUCGUCUCCAAUAGAAAUCAGAUAUUUCUAAUAAUUUUUGGAGUUUGUUUAGGAUUUAUUUGAAAGGCAGUCACAGAAAGAGGGAUAGAUAGAGAGCCACUGGUUCACUCCCCAGAUGGCCACAUCGGCCAGGGAUAGGCCAGGCUGAAUCCAGGAACCAGGAGCUUCUCUGGGUCUCCCAUGUAGGUACAGGGGCCCAAGGACUUGGGCCAUCUUCUACUGCUUUCCCAGGUCAUAGCAGAGAGCUAGAUCAGAAGUAGAGUAGCCAGGACUUGAACCAGCACCUAUAUGGGAUGCCGGCACUGCAGGUGGUGGCUUAACAUGUUACAGCACAACACCAGCCCCCUAACCUCAUCACUUUACAGCUGUUGCAGAUGUCUUGAAUUACUGUUUGCAUUCACCAUCAGUUUAAAGUUAUGAAGGCUUUGGGGGCAGGCACUGUGGGACACCUGCAUCCCACAGUGGCAUGGACGGCUUCACACCCUGGGUACUGGGCUUCCAGUCCAGCUUUCUGCUAAUGGGCCUGGCUAGGCAGCAGAUGACAGCCAAGAACUUGGGUCCCUGCAUCCGUGUGAGACCAGGUUGGAAUUCCUGACUCCUGGCUUCAGCCUGGCCCAGCUCUGGCUGUUGUGGGCAUCUGAGAAGUGAACAAGUGGGUGGAAGAUCUCUCUACCUCUACCUCUACCUCUACCUCUCUCUCUCUCUCUCUCUCUAUCUCUAUCUCUAUCUUUAUCUCUCUACCUCUAUCUUUAUCUCUCUCUACCUCUAUCUCUACCUCUAUGUUUCUCUACAUCUACCUCUAUCUCUACCUCUCUCUCCAUCUCUAUCUCUAUCUCUCUCUGUCUCUGUCUCUAUCUCUGCCUCUGCCUCUAUCUCUACCUCUAUCUCUAUCUCUCUUACUCUGCCUUUAAAAUAAAUAAACAAACAAAUAAAUAAAUCUUAAAAUUUUGGAGGCUUUAGAAUUGCUGCUCACUCUUGGUAUUUAAUCUAUUAAUAAAGAAGCACGUAUAGUGCUAUGUCACACUUGCCUUAAUAUUUUGAUUUCUGUAUUUUGAUAUAAUUGGUUUUCUUUGUAACUCUAUUUUAUUUUAUACAUUUACAGAUUUCUUAUGAGAAUGCUCGUAGAAUUCCCCAGACAGGGGGCCAGCAUUGUGGCACAGUGGUUAAAGCCACUGUCUGUGACUUUAACCUGUUGUACCAUAGCACUGGCCCCAGUAAAUCUUAAAAAAAAAAAGAAUUCCCCAGAUGGCUAGAGGAUCCACAACACACUCAUGCACACAUAUACAUACAAACACACACACACACACACACACACACACACAGGAUUCCUGCUCUUAAGGAGGUAAGGAAUCUCUGAGGUGAGAAGCCCUCCUCACUCUCCCUGGGGAGCACAAAGAGGUGAGGACUUUUCUGGGUCAGGCACUGUGCUGAGGGUUUUGUGUAUUUAUCUUUAUUUAAUCUUCCCAACACCUUGACGUAGGCUUUUUUUUUUUUAAGAUUUAUUUAUUUGUUUAUUUUGACAGGCAGAGUUAAACAGUGAGAGAGAGAGACAGACAGACAGAGAGAAAGGUCUUCCUUUUUCCGUUGGUUCAUCCCCCAAGUGGCCACCACGGCCGGUGUGUUGUGGCCGGCGUGCUGCGCCGAUCCAAAGCCAGGAGCCAGGUGCUUCCUCCUGGUCUCCCAUGCGGGUGCAGGGCCCAAGCACUUGGGCCAUCCUCCACUGCCUUCCUGGGCCACAGCAGAGAGCUGGACUGGAAGAGGAAUGACCGGGACAGAGUCUGGCGCGCCGACUGGGACUAGAACCCGGGGUGCUGGCACCGCAGGUGGAGGAUUAGCCUAGUGAGCUGUGGCGCCAGCCUAUUUAUUUAUUUGGAAGUCAGUGUUACACACAGAGAGAAAUAGAGGCAGAGAGAGAGAGAGAGAGAGAGAGAGAGGUGUUCCAUCUGCUGAUUCACUCCCCAAUUGGCUGCAACGGCAAGAGCUACCCUGAUCCGAAGGUAGGAGCCAGGAGCUUCUUCCAGGUCUCCCACGUGGGUGCAGGGCCCCAAGGACUUGUGCCAUCUUCUACUGCUUUCCCAGAUCAUAGCAGAGAGCAGGAUCAGAAGUGGAGCAGCCAAAACAUGAACUGGCGCCUGUGUGGGAUGCCGGCACUGCAGGCGGCAGCUUUACCUGCUACGCCACAGCACCGGCCCCAAGAAGUGGGUUUUUAUUAUUGUCCCCAUUUUAUAGAAGAAAAUAUUGAGGCUCAGAGGAGUGCGUGAAUUGCUCAUGGUCCCGGAGCAGUGACUGGUGCUGGAUUCCAUGCUCCGAUAGCUGUGCCUGCCACACAGAACCUCUGAGCCUGGCCACUUGAGAUAAGUACCUCAUUCUCACUCUACAGACAAGGAAACCGAGUCUGGAGAAGGAAAGUCCCUUUUCCUCAGCGCUGUGUGACACGGUCAGGCUGUGACUUCAAAGGUCCCACAUUCUGCUGCACCCUGCAGGGAUAAUUACAUGUGUAGCCUGUGAGAGGUGAUGGUUGGCCAGAUACAUGACUCAGGCAAACCGUUACAUGCCUUCCAUCAGGAUUAGAUGGUUUGGAAGGAAAUUACUACUCUGAGUGCGUUCACUCUGAGGCCACAGAGCUGUGUGGGGAGCGUCCUGGUGGAUGUGAAAGACACACUAGCAUUUGGAAAACUCCAUUAGCUGCUAUUGUCUAGACUAGAGAGUCAAAAGGAGGAAGCCGGAGAUAAAAGAAUUCACAAGUGGGAAGUUCUGUGUUGGGGGCUCCUGCUGAAACAGAAAGAACCAUUAUUUUGAAACCAUUAAUGAUGAACUUGGUAAGGAUCAAAGUAGUCUUGUGACCUGUAAAUCUAAUGAAAUGAAAGUGAGGUAAUGGCAUGUUUUAUAAUGCCGACGGAUCUGAGACGCUGGAAAUUAUCUCAGCAUGAGCACUACACGGGAAGAGCGAACAAUGGAAGCCAUCCAGACAAGGAUCUUUAUUCAGCUGUAUUUAUAGCAGGCCUUCGCCUUGUCUUUCAACGUGGGGAUCACAAAGGCGCCUGUUGCACCUUGCUGGGUGUAUGAAAAUGCAGCGGUUGGCACAGUCCCUGCACAAAGGAGGGAAAGACGACAAGGGGGAUGAAUAGCUCUGGCUCUGGCUCCAAGGGGAGGGGAGACAGCAAGCAAGACAGAACCUGGGAGAGAAAAGAACCGAAAGAGGGUCUUCCCACCUCGCCCAAGCCCAUUUCUCUAGAACUGAGCUGUCUCAUAGUCGUCACUGACUGUGGCUAUUUACAUUUGCCAAAAUUAAAUACAGGGGCAGGUGUUUGGCCUGGGGGUUAAGAUGCUGCUUGGGAAGCCUGCAUUUGGUAUUGGAGUGCCUACGUUUGUGUCCAGCUCUGUUCCUGAUUCCUGCUUCCUGCUAUUGUGCACCCUGGGAGACAGCAGGUGAUAGCUCAAGUGGUUGGGUCCCUGCUCCCCACAGGACAGACCUGAAUCGGGCUCCUGGAUUCUGGCUUCAGCCAGCCCAAUCUUGGCUCUUGUUGAUAUCUGAGUAACGAAAUGGCAAAUGGAAGUUCCCUGUCUGCCAGUGUCUCUGCCUUUGAAAGGAAAAAUGAAAGAAAGAGAAAUUCCACUAGUCGAGGCUUCUUGUCAUGCAUUUUUUUAAAAAAGGAAAAAAAGUAAAUCUAAUUGUUGAAAGCUCACUGCCUCAGCUAAUAGGUACACUCCAAGUGUUCAACAGGUACAGGUAGCUAGUGGAUACCACACUGGGCACUGCAGAUAUAGUGCGUUUCCAUCACAGAAAGUUCCCCUGGGCAAUAUUCAAAAGUCAGCACAGGGGUCCAUGAUAAGACAGAAGAGUGGAGUCUUCUAAGAUAGCACAGGGGUCCCAGGUCCUGUUGGGACCCUCAAUGAGCUACUGGCACUCUCCAGAACUCGGUUUCCUAAUAUUAUUGAUUAAUAUUUUUAACCAGACAUUAUAAAGAGAUAGUCACAUAAUUAAUUUAGUCUUAAGAUGACAGGCGAGUUCUUAGGGCCCCUUUACAGGAGAGGAAGUGGAGGUUAAGAACCUGCUCAGUGGGGCUGGCUUUGUAGUGCAGCAGGUUAAGCUGCCCCCUGCGAUGCCGGCAUCCCGUAUCAGAGCACCGGUUCGAGUCCCGGCUGCUCUGCUUCUGAUCCAGCUCCCUGCCACUGUGUUUGGGAAGGCAGCAGAUGAUGGCCCAAGUAUCUGGGCCCCUGUCACUAUGUGGGAGACCUGGAUGGAGCUCCUGGCUCCUGGCUUCAGGUUGGCCCAGCCCUGGCCAUUGCAGCCAUCUGAGGAGUGAACCAGUGGAUGGAAGUGUGCUGUCUCUGUCUCUCUCUGUACCUUUUUUUCCAAAUAAAAGUCCCAUAGUCAGUAGCAAAACUGGAUUUUGUAUCCAGGUCUCUGACUUCUGAAGUCACUGUCCUAUCCUCCUAGCCACACUGCCUCCUGCUUUAGUCCUCAUUUGUAACUCAUGGAGUCGUAGCUGGAUUCCCCCAGAAAAAGAAGCUGAAAUGAGGAUUUGAGUCAGGUAGUUUAUCUGGGAGGUGACCCCAGGAAGCACGGGUGAGGGCAUGGGGAAGUGAAACAGAGAGGGGAAGGAAGAAUUUACCGGGUGAGCCAGGAGCGGGUUCCACUGUGGGCAGCUUCAUCUUGGAGACCACAUAGAACUUCUGCCUCUCAGUUGUCCUACAUAAUGGAAGGGGGAAGUUGGUGCAUCUAUCCACCAACUCCUCACCUGUCAUGGUAGGAGGCUAUUCCAGGGGCAUUAACCGUGGCACUUCGGCCCCGCCACCCUCAAGGGCUAAACAUGCUCUUGUGGUCACAAAAGAUCUGCCUACACUGGAUAGGAUGGGAGGUUGUCAGCUAAACGUGUGAAUUUGCAAAGUUUUUCGGAAAGUAUUUUGAAAAAUUCUGUUAGCGUUUACAAUAUACUUACCCACAAAUUCAUUCUAUAAAUAUAUUCAAGAGAAAUACAAGGACGAGUGCCUAAGCAUAUGUGCACACGGCUGUGUGUUCUUGCAUGCUUUCCCAGCGUGAAAAACUGGAUGGUAGAAUCAACUGUGCCAAGUCCACACCAUGGAAUAUUACACAUUUUUAAAAAGAAUAUGUCCUAUCUGUGUUUAGCUUAGACUUAUUUCCAUGAUACAUUGUUAAGUAGAAAAGUGGCUGCAUAAAAAUGUUGCUAUUCCUUUUCUUGUGAAAUGAAGAAAUAUUUUCUUAAACAUGUAGGAAACACAAUAGGCUGUUAGGGGCAGGGUAAUGAGUAGCUAAAUGGAAAAAAAAAACAGUUGUUGAUAACAAUUGAAAUAAUGUAGAUAUUAUGAUGUUAAAGGAAAAUGAGAAAUAGGUGCUCCAUCUAUGAUAUCCUUGGGGAAAAGAAAUCUAAAGGGAAAAAGGUUACAAAGUGACUCAUACAAAUGUAUCCAUGUAAACAUUGAUUUAAUUUGGGGAUGGACCCCUGGGUCAUUUUCCGAUCUGUAAUAAAGUGUCCAUUUCAUGUAAAUAUAUGAGUGGAGAUGGCUGGAUAUUCACUGGACUAUGGCUACAUGAGAAGAUGCAGAAUUGUAUCCUUGAUCUGGAUUCCCCACCUUUCUUUUUCUCACUCUUUCACUGAGAAGAAGUUUCCCGCCUUUUGACUUUUGAACCUAGCUCCCCUACAGGAUCGGGCCAAGAAAGCAUCUGCCUGCUUUGGGUUUUAGGGCCUGGUGUGUGGGAGGAAGGUGAGAGGAGGAGAUUCCACCCUGCAGAGACAAAGGCAAGCUGGAGCAGGUGCACGGACGGAGGCGCACGCAGGGCCAAUGGACUGCUUUGGCUGCUCGGCAGCUGCACGCCCUCCUUACCUGGGAGGAAAAGGGCCAUCAGGCAGCCAGAAUGUGGAGUGUAAGCCAAGUGUGGCCACUCUGAAGUUCCUUCCCAGGACCUUUUUUUUUUUUUUUUUAAAGAGAGGAGAGGCAGAGAAAGAGAGGUCUUCCAUUCACUGGUUCACUCCCCAAAUGGACGCAAUGGCUGGAGAUGGGACAGUCUGAAGCCAGGAGCCUGGAGCUUCUUCCAGGUCUCCCAGGUGGGUGCAGGGGUCCAAGCCUUAGGCCUUCUUCUACUGCCUUCUCAGGCCACAGCUAGAGAGCUGGAUCAGAAGUGGAGCAGCCAGGCCUCGAACUGGCACCCAUAUGGAAUGCUGGUACUGCAGACAGAGGCUAUACCUGCUAUGCCACAGCGCUGGCUCC